rnacentral:rRNA from 1 species
AAUGAACGUUGGCGGCGUGGAUUAGGCAUGCAAGUCGAGCGAGAACCCCGCAAGGGGGGACAGCGGCAAACGGGGUAGUAAUGUGUCGGAACGUGCCCAGAGGACGGGGAUAGCGGCGGGAAACUGCCGGUAAUACCCGAUGAUCUCGAGAGAGCAAAGGUGUGAUUCCGCCUUUGGAGCGGCCGACAUGGUAUUAGCUAGUUGGUGGGGUAACGGCCCACCAAGGCUUUGAUGCCUAGGGGAUGUGAGAGCAUGAUCCCCACCAUUGGGACUGAGACACUGCCCAGACACCUACGGGUGGCUGCAGUCGAGAAUCUUCGUCAAUGGGCGAAAGCCUGAACGAGCGACGCCGCGUGCGGGAUGAAGGCCUUUGGGUUGUAAACCGCUGUCGAGGGGGAUGAAGGCAUUCAGGUACUCCUGAAUGUUUGACAGAGCCCUGGAGGAAGCACGGGCUAAGUUCGUGCCAGCCGCCGCAGUAA